rnacentral:rRNA from 1 species
UACGGAGGAGGCAAGCGUUGUUCGGAAUUACUGGGCGUAAAGGGCUCGUAGGCGGCCAACUAAGUCGGACGUGAAAUCCCCAGGCUCAACCUGGGAACUGCGUCCGAUACUGGAUGGCUUGAAUCCGGGAGAGGGAUGCAGAAUUCCAGGUGUAGCGGUGAAAUGCGUAGAUAUCUGGAGGAAUACCGGUGGCGAAGGCGGCAUCCUGGACCGGCAUUGACGCUGAGGAGCGAAAGCCAGGGGAGCAAACGGG